rnacentral:lncRNA from 1 species
UUUUGGCAGAAGUUGAAUUUGGAGCAGUGUAUUUUUUAAGAAAGUCUGGGAGUGGAUCAAAUUCAACUGAGGUUGCAUUUGAUCUUAAAAAUAUAACUUUUGAUGCCAAUGUGGAUUGUGAUGAAGAUGAAGAUGAAGAUGGAGAUGAUGGAGGAGAGGAUAUCAUUAGAGGAUUGAACCUAAAAACUUUCACAUUUGUUCAUUUCUAAUGAUUUAAUUUUUAUGACUUGA